UUUAUGGCAUAGCACAACAAAUUUCAUACACAAUUAUUAGGACUGCCGCUCCAUAAACAUCUACAUGUACGUGGGUGUUUGUGUGAUACUUUUUGAUUGUCCGUAAGCAUGUUUUAGUCUUUUCAGUAGUUAAACAUUUGUGAGAUCGUUUUUGUGUGAAUCCCGAAGAGAUGUUUUAACGCUCGAAUCAAUACGCGCACAAUUCGAUAGCAAAUAUGCCGUAUCUACUUAUGUGAAGUGGUUCCUCGAUGGACAAGAUGUGAUCUCCUUGUUUCGACUCCUGCUGCAAGCUGUGUUGCAGUCCGUGUUCCAGUUCGUGCUGCAGCUUGUGUUGCAGCCCCUGCAGCAAUCCCAUCUAUAUGCGUUUUUGCAGUCCGUGUUGCAACGCGUGCUGCAGCCCCUGCUGUACCAUGUGCUGCCCACAAUGCUGCUGUUAUCCAUGCUAAUGCAGGACCCUCGGGGAGUACUCACACCCUGCCACGAAGAUAUACUUCACAAUCAUAUGUGUAGAUUACGGCAUUGGACUUGAACAAUGCUAAAUGAACAUAUAUGGACAUAUAACUAAAA